rnacentral:rRNA from 1 species
UAUGUGAUCGUCUCUCGCAUAUCAAUAAGCGGAGGAAAAGAAACUAACAAGGAUUCCCCUAGUGACGGCGAGUGAAGCGGGAAGAGCUCAAAUUUGAAAUCUUAAAGGGUUUCCCUUUACGAAUUGUAGUUUAAAGAAGUGUUUUCUGUUGAGGUUUUGGUAAAAGUUCUUUGGAAUAGGACAUCAUAGAGGGUGAGAAUCCCGUAUUUGACCUUUACUUUCAACUUUGUGAUACACUUUCAAAGAGUCGGAUUGUUUGGGAAUGCAGUCCAAAAUGGGUGGUAAAUUUCAUCUAAAGCUAAAUAUUGGCGAGAGACCGAUAGCGAACAAGUACCGUGAGGGAAAGAUGAAAAGAACUUUGAAAAGAGAGUUAAACAGUACGUGAAAUUGUCAAAAGGGAAGCGUUUGACACCAGUGUUGUUUUUCUGAAAAUCAAUUAAAGAACUGUUUAUGCUAAGUUGUUUAGACUUUAUCAGCUAUACUGUUUAGUUUUGAGCUUUUCUUUAAUGCACUUUUCAGUUAACAAGUCAACAUCAAUUUCUUUUGCUGUAAAAAAGCUUGAGGAAGGUGGCUUGAGAUUCGUCUUAAGUGUUUAUAGCCUCUUGCCUAUGCAGUCGGAGAGAUUGAGGUCUGCAGCGUAGAUCCUUCGGGGCUAAAUGCAUUUGUGCUAAGUUAUAGCAUUUUAUAGACAACUUGUUGACUAUGAUUUGUCUUGUAGCUUACUCGCUUAUGUUAUUUUACCUACGCUUAGGAUGUUGAAGAUAUGCGCGACAC